GACACUGAGGCUCGAAAGCGUGGGUAGCAAACAGGAUUAGAUACCCUGGUAGUCCACGCUGUAAACGAUGUCUACUAGUCGUUGGGUCCCUUGAGGACUUAGUGACGCAGCUAACGCAAUAAGUAGACCGCCUGGGGAGUACGGCCGCAAGGUUAAAACUCAAAUGAAUUGACGGGGGCCCGCACAAGCGGUGGAGCAUGUGGUUUAAUUCGAUGCAACGCGAAGAACCUUACCUGGUCUUGACAUACACAGAAUCUUGUAGAGAUACGAGAGUGCCUUCGGGAAUUGUGAUACAGGUGCUGCAUGGCUGUCGUCAGCUCGUGUCGUGAGAUGUUGGGUUAAGUCCCGCAACGAGCGCAACCCUUGUCCUUAGUUACCAGCACUUCGGGUGGGAACUCUAAGGAUACUGCCAGUGACAAACUGGAGGAAGGCGGGGACGACGUCAAGUCAUCAUGGCCCUUACGACCAGGGCUACACACGUGCUACAGUGGUAGGUACAGAGGGCAGCUACACAGCGAUGUGAUGCGAAUCUCAAAAAGCCUAUCGUAGUCCAGAUUGGAGUCUGCAACUCGACCCCAUGAAGUAGGAAUCGCUAGUAAUCGCGGAUCAGAAUGCCGCGGUGAAUACGUUCCCGGGCCUUGUACACACCGCCCGUCACACCAUGGGAGUUGAUUGCACCAGAAGUGGUUAGCC
rnacentral:rRNA from 1 species